AUGCAGGUGCAGGGCCCAAGCACUUGGGCCAUCCUCCACUGCAUUCCUGGGCCACAGCAGAGAGCUGGACUGGAAGAGGAGCAACCGGGACUAGAACCCAGAGUGCCAGCGCCGCAGACGGAGAAUUAGCCUGGCUCACCAUGUGAUCAUUCCUCUGCAUCACCCUGCUGCUGCUGCAGCUGCCAACAUCCACCAGACACCAGACUAACGGGGCUGCCUGGUCCUGAACUGUGAACCUCCAAACUGCGAGACAGAGUCCAUCUUUUCCUUCUCAAGAAGCCCUCUCGGUGUUAUAGAUAAGGCAGCAAGGAGCUGACUGAUACUCACAUAAAUCCUUGAAGAAGUUGCUAACGUCUCAAAGAGAAGACUUCACACAUAUACACACACACACAAAUUAAUUUGGUCUUCUACCACAAAGUGAGCUAUCUGGUGUUACUGAGUUGAGUUUGCUGAAGGUUUGUCAGCAGCCGCCUCACCCAUUGAUGAUCCCUGAUUGGCCCUGGCACCCAUCUGGACUCUUAUUUGCAGUCGGCAAAAGUUGACUCUGACAAAUUUCAGUAGGAAAGGAGUUUAUUAAAGUGUACCAUAUGGUUCACAGCACAUCCUAGAGUUGGGAGAACUGUGUUGGAAAUGCUGUAUUGAGAAAUGACACCAGGCCUCAUGCUAUUGCUCUGGGACUACCAAGAUAGCACGGUUAGGCUCCUGAACCAGACCCCACAGACAGCUGAACCUGCAUCACCAGUUCUGGGUGUUUAAUGCUGGCUACUGCUGCUGACUCACUGUGUGGACCUACACCAUAGGAGGGGUUCUGUGAGGUCCCUGUUCUGCGUCAGACUCCAGCUGCAACCUGUAAGGUGAAUAGGUCUGGUCGCAAGAGCUUGAGUCACAUUCCUGCUCCCUUGCCUCCAGGGAAGCCACAACUGUGUAACUGGUACUUUCAGCUCUGUUGGUAGAGGCAAAGCUCUGAUGUGUCAUUGGGAAGAGCACUCAGACACAGGAAGGGAUUUGUGAUACUGGACAGCCAAUAGAACAGCCGUUGUCUGCCAUAGUCCCUGAAGGCCUCUGAGUUUGCUGUCCUCACCUACUACACACCAAAUCCCAAUUACAUUAGUUGAAUGGCGUAUAAGACUAAUGACAUUAGUCAUUAGAAUAACACUAGUAACAUCAGGAAUAAAUAAUAGGAAGAGUGCUGGAAAAGAAUAAGAAAAAAGGAGAAAAAGAGAGAAAGAAUGAAAUACAGCCACCAAGAGGAGCAACUCAAAGUGAUCCAUGCUUUGACAAGCUUUUGCUUAAAAGCAGAACCCAUCAAUUUCCUUUUUGUUUUUCUUCUCUCUUUUGCAUUAUAGACUACAAAGCUCAUGCAGAGCCCUGUGAAACUCACUUCCUUCAUCCUGUUUGGUCAGGAAAUAUUGGCCCCAGCUUAGAAGUGGUUCAGCUCAGUCAGUCGCCGAAACACCAGCUGUCUAAGCGAUGAGUUGGUCCAUCCAGGAGGUAGCUAUUUAGCCAACAGACAGAUGGCCAAGAAAGCCAAGUUAGUUGGAUGAUGUUUGUCAUUCAGGAGGCUGGCUGCCAGCUGAAAUUGCUAGGAGCCAACAGAUUCGGAAGCCAUAGACCACCAUCUUGGAUGUGCUUUUGGGAUCUCACAGAUACCCAAUUAGCAACAAAGGACAAAGCAGGACAGAUUUUGCUUUGCUGAGCCCACAUCAUGUAAUGAGGAAGAGCUAUGCUCACAGUGCCAGUGGUAGAUAAGGAGGUGGCUGAGCUGUAGCUUGGCCAAAAGUGAGAUAAUCACAACCCAGCAUGGGGAACAUGAGAACAAGGACCAGCUGUGAAAGUGGGUGCCCAGGGAAAGCAAGGGCUACUUACAACGUUUUCUCCAAAAGCAUAUUACAUUUCCAAGUAAGGAAGUGUGACUUAUUGCACAUCAUAAAUAAUAAAUGAGAAUUAGAGAGACCACACGUUAAUCUUUGAAACUAUCUAGUGUUAAAUUGGAAAUACACUCAAGAAAUGUAGCCAAAGAUAGAAUCUAUGCCACAUACUUUGUACAUUAUUUCUUAUUUAAAGAAUUUUAGCUCUUAACAUUUAUUUAUUUUAUUUUUUAAAGAUUUAUUUAUUUAUUUGAAAGGCAGAGUUACAGAGAGGCAAAGGCAGAGAGAGAGAGAGAGAGAGAGAGAGAGAUCUUCCAUCUGCUGGUUCACUCCCCAGAUGGCCACAGCGGCCGGAGCUAUACUGAUCUGAAGCCAGGAGUCAGAAGCUUUUUCUGGGUCUCCCAUGCAGGUGCAGGGGCCCAGGACUUGGGCCAUCUUCCACUGCUUUCCCAGGUCAUAGCAGAGAGCUAGAUUGGGAAUGAGGCAGCUGGGGUGUAACUGGUGCCCAUAUGGGGUGCCAACACUGCAGGUGGUGGCUUUACCCACUACACCACAGUGCCAGCCCCUUUGCACAUUGUUUCAACAAAUCUUCAAUAUGUCUGUACUGUGUGCCAGAAACUGUUCUACGGAACCAAUUGUGGUGAACAAAAAUCAGUUGAUUUCUCCCCUCAUGGAGCUUACAAUGUAGUUUGAGAAGAAACUAUUAGUCAAAUAACAAGACCAGUGCGUGUAACACUGCAGUUGUGGUGAGCAGUGUGAAUUAAGGUGCAUAUAGCCCUGAAGUCAUAGGAGGAUUUAACCACUUACCUACCUAUCUACCUAACUAUACAUACGUAUAUUUUCAAUAUAUACAUAUAUGUGUGUUAUAUGUGCAUAUAGUCUCCCACCUCAGUUUAUUAUGAUCAAUGUUUUUUUUACUAAAAAUUCUGUGCUUUGGGUUGCUAUUGUGGUGUAGUGGGUGAAGCUGCCACCUGAAGUGCCAGAAUCCCAUAAAGGCACUGGUUUGAGUCCCGGCUGCUCCACUUCCAAUCCAGCUCUCUGUUAAUGGCCUGGGAAAGCAGUGGAAGAUGGCCCAAUUACUUGGGUUCCUGAACUCAUGUGGGAGACUUGGAAGAAGUUUCCAGCUCCUGGCUUCCAUCUAGCUCAGCCCCAGCCGUUGUGGUCAUUUGGGGAGUAAACCAGCAGAUGGAAGAGCUCUCUUUCUCUGUCUGUCUGUCUCUCCCUCUCUCUUUGUAACUCUGCCUUUCAAGUGAAUAAAAUAAAUCUUUUAAAAAAAAUUCUGUGAUUUGAAGCAUACUCCUUCCUCUACCAAAACUUUAAUUCUCACUUGCCUACUACUAAUAUUAAAAAUUCCAGAAAUGUUCUCAUGUUCUCCAAGUUUGUAUUACCAACUGACAACAAGUGGUUCUGAACAUAUUAGAAGCCCUUGUGUAUUUGUUUCAACUUUUCUAGUGUAGUUUAGAAGGAAGAGCUUUGAACGUGAUAACAGGGGACUUGCAAUCAAACCCAACACUGCCACUUACUAGGUACCGUGGGCAGCAGACUCUCAACACUCCAUGUUGUCAUCUGUACAAUGGACUAAGAAGACCUUCCUCCCACAUGGUAGUGGCAAUUAAAUGCAAAAAGUUAUCAGCAAUCAAGGCUUCUUCCAGACAAACAAAACAACAGAGUUUCAUUCUAUUCCAAGAUUAGACACAAGGCAAAAAUGGCUUGGAGUCGCACUCAUCCUUGAAGAUCCUGUCGAAACUGUCAGCACGGUGGCUCGCAUACUGGAUCCUGGGGAGCCCAGCACCGCCAGCUACUCUUCCAGAGUCAGAGCUGAUGGCUGUUGCUUCUGCUGAAUGCCAGGUUAACGACUGGAUUUCUUUUCGUGACUGUGUUGCGGGAAGUACUUCUCUUUAAUACUCAAUGUUGCAUGAUGCUCAUCUCAGAGACCGCAGCAGACUCAGGUUUCCCGUGUCAAUGCUCACUGUAGAAUGAAGCUCAUUGACCGCGAGGGUGAGGGGCAUAAGCUGCUAAAAUCAGGAAAGCUCCGUCUCUAGGACCCUCCACCUGCCAAAUAAAUUGCUGAGUCAUCAGUCCCUUCUCUGGCUCUAGGAAACCUUGGUUGUGUAACCACUGCCAGGUUUCUCUCCCACCCCACCGGACUGCUCUCGGGAUGACCGUUUCUGCCCAGCUGCUCUGAACUUCCUACAUAAUUUCUGCUUUGGAAAACCCAUCUAUGUCUGCUCAGUGCUUCCUUCAGAUGAGACCCAGUGAUUAAGAGAAUGGAGAAGAAAGAAAGAGGAAGAAAAGUAAGCCCUUUGUCCAUCCCUAGCAAGGACUUCACAAAACUGUCUGGUUCCUUAGCUCCAUUCACAGGCUGUAGCUAUGCAGAAUCACAGGUGUUCACCCAUCAGUGAUGUCUUGUCCUGGAAAUGCAGCAUUGAUAACCGUC